GGAGCUGUAGCUCAGUUCGGUAGAGCUUCUGAUUCCAACUGCUUUGGUGGAAUAUCAGAAGGUCGCAGGUUCAAGUCCUGUCAGCUUCA